rnacentral:rRNA from 1 species
UACGAAGGGGGCUAGCGUUGUUCGGAGUUACUGGGCGUAAAGCGCACGUAGGCGGAUACUUAAGUCAGGGGUGAAAUCCCGGGGCUCAACCCCGGAACUGCCUUUGAUACUGGGUAUCUCGAGUCCGGAAGAGGUGAGUGGAAUUCCGAGUGUAGAGGUGAAAUUCGUAGAUAUUCGGAGGAACACCAGUGGCGAAGGCGGCUCACUGGUCCGGUACUGACGCUGAGGUGCGAAAGCGUGGGGAGCAAACAGG